rnacentral:rRNA from 1 species
AGUGGACGCUGGCGGUAGGCCUAACACAUGCAAGUCGAACGGCAGCACAGUAAGAGCUUGCUCUUACGGGUGGCGAGUGGCGGACGGGUGAGGAAUACAUCGGAAUCUACUUUUUCGUGGGGGAUAACGUAGGGAAACUUACGCUAAUACCGCAUACGACCUACGGGUGAAAGCAGGGGAUCUUCGGACCUUGCGCGAUUGAAUGAGCCGAUGUCGGAUUAGCUAGUUGGCGGGGUAAAGGCCCACCAAGGCGACGAUCCGUAGCUGGUCUGAGAGGAUGAUCAGCCACACUGGAACUGAGACACGGUCCAGACUCCUACGGGAGGCAGCAGUGGGGAAUAUUGGACAAUGGGCGCAAGCCUGAUCCAGCCAUACCGCGUGGGUGAAGAAGGCCUUCGGGUUGUAAAGCCCUUUUGUUGGGAAGAAAAGCAGCAGGUUAAUACCCCGCUGUUCUGACGGUACCCAAAGAAUAAGCACCGGCUAACUUCGUG